CCUCUUCCAGUUGCGGAGGUCGGAAGUCCGAAACGAGCGCCACUGGGCUAAAGUCAAGGGCCGUGCAGCCCCUUCUGAAGGAGAUGAGGGAAGGCAUGAAGAGGGGAGAGAGGGGCCGUCCAGGUGGACUAGAUGCCGGCCGAGUCACUGUAUAAACCAACCCAAGACCGCCUGUCUCGAGUCCCUGUUACAGCAGAUAAUGACUGUCGGACGCUCAAGUCACCUGUGGCCAGUUUUCAUACUGCUUCCGGCCAAAGAAAUUCGAGCUGUUUGGAGAGCUUCCUCCGUGGCUCAUGCGGCCUCAGCCAAACCAACCCAGGCUCCGUGCUGGAGGAAGCUUCAAGACUUUGCACUCUAGGAACUAGAGUGCCAGGAGGCAUGGCCGUUCCAGAAUCGUCACCGUAUCCCUCUCCGGCUAGGUCUGCCGAGGGCUCCGAAGGCUUCACUUCUCCCACCACCAGGAUUCAUUCGGCAACUGACAACCCAUUUCGCUGUAUGUGAGCUUCCAAAUUCCCCGAGUCUCUCUUCCCUUAUCUGCAGACUAAGCUAAGAUCUACAACUGCCUUUCUAACAAGAUCUUUGCAUGAAUUAAAUGAGAUGAUGGAUUAUUUUUAAA